rnacentral:misc_RNA from 1 species
AGUAGUGUACUACCAAGUAUAGAUAACGUU